CGGGAAUUUUGGGCAAUGGGCGCAAGCCUGACCCAGCAACGCCGCGUGGGUGACGAAGGCCUUCGGGUUGUAAAGCCCUUUUGGAAGGGAAGAUGAUGACGGUACCUUUCGAAGAAGCACCGGCUAACUACGUGCCAGCAGCCGCGGUAAUACGUAGGGUGCGAGCGUUGCCCGGAUUUAUUGGGCGUAAAGGGCGCGUAGGCGGCUCGACACGUCCGUUGUGAAAUCGCCCGGCUCAACUGGGCGGGGUCAGCGGAUACGGUCGAGCUUGAGCAAGCUAGGGGGCAAUGGAAUUCCCGGUGUAGUGGUGGAAUGCGUAGAUAUCGGGAGGAACACCAGUGGCGAAGGCGGUUGCCUGGGGCUUUGCUGACGCUGAUGCGCGAAAGCGUGGGGAGCGAUC
rnacentral:rRNA from 1 species